rnacentral:rRNA from 1 species
GUGGGGAAUCUUGCGCAAUGGGCGAAAGCCUGACGCAGCCAUGCCGCGUGAAUGAUGAAGGUCUUAGGAUUGUAAAAUUCUUUCACCGGGGACGAUAAUGACGGUACCCGGAGAAGAAGCCCCGGCUAACUUCGUGCCAGCAGCCGCGGUAAUACGAAGGGGGCUAGCGUUGCUCGGAAUUACUGGGCGUAAAGGGCGCGUAGGCGGACAGUUUAGUCAGAGGUGAAAGCCCAGGGCUCAACCUUGGAAUUGCCUUUGAUACUGUCUGUCUUGAGUACGGGAGAGGUGAGUGGAACUCCGAGUGUAGAGGUGAAAUUCGUAGAUAUUCGGAAGAACACCAGUGGCGAAGGCGACUCACUGGCCCGUUACUGACGCUGAGGCGCGAAAGCGUGGGGAGCAAACAGGAUUAGAUACCCUGGUAGUCC